ensembl:lncRNA
AGAGUGAUCCGUCAGCUGCGUGAGCGUGGCCUAGGGAACAGUCCAUCAAGGAUUAUUCUCCAGCUAAAGGAGAACCACAGCGAGGAGUGGCUCCAGCGGGUUGCUCGGUACACAGCACAGUGUGCAGCUUUCAUGGAUGCCUCUAGACUGCUGCAACCACAUUUCCAGGAGCCCCCAGUAUCAGCGGUGUUACCAAGCUAUAAGUGGCUCCUUGUUGUGUACAGUCAAGAUAUCCUGAACAGGCUGGAGGAUAUUAAGGCUAAGAUAACUUCAGUCUAUGGAUGCAUUUUAAAAAUGGACUCUACUAAGACGGUUAGAAUUUGAAUAGCUCUCAUCUUCCAAAUAAUAUACACUCAAUCUUUACAUAAAUGUUCUGACGGUUUUUGAAUUUUCAGAUCACCAAGAAGCUCAGUGGAACUGCCAAGGGCACUGCCCGGUGGCUGACUUCUGUGGGGAACGAAAUGGGUCAGGUACUCAUUAGUGUCCUAACAGCCAGUGAGGGUCCAGCAUUGGAUCUUAUGGCUGCAGGCCUGAUGGACAGGUACCAGAGCGCAGGUAUGGAUCCUCCUGUUGCACUUUAUGUGGACAACGGCUGCUGUAAAGAGGUGGGCGAGACCAAGAGCAAGGCCAAAUUUGGGCGGUGGCCAAAUUUGAUUGUCCGUCUAGACAUUUGGCAUUUCAUGCGUCGUUUGGCAGUGGGAUGUACUACUGAUGCACAUCAGCUGUACCCCACCUUCAUGGCACGCAUGUCAGCCUGCAUAUUUGAGUGGGAUGCAACAGAUGUGGCGGAGCUCAGAAGGGCCAAGAGGGCACAACUGUUGCAGGAGGGCUGGCCCGCUCUCUCUGACCAGGAGUUGGACAAACACAUCACACAAGACGAGCUUGCGCUGCACUGCAGGAGACGGACCCGUGGAGAGGAGACAUCCAUCCAACUCCUUGAUCAGCUUCUUACGGAGCUCAUGACUGGCAAGGGGAAUGAUGCACUGGGUGUUCCGCUUCUAGACACUGUUAGGAUGCAGCACAUCUGGCGCAUCCAAAGGCGGCAUGUGAGGUGCAUCCAGGACCCUCCUGGCUUGGCUUUAUACACGGAGACUGGGAGCACUAGAAAGGGAGGAGUGGUAUUAAAAACAUUCCGCUGUGCCAGGGGUUCCACGUCUCUGGAAUCGUUUCACUGCCAUUUGAAUCGAUUCAUUCCAGGGAACAGUGCGAACCUGCUGAACUACCAAAUCUACCUUUUGGAAGGACUCAGUCGCUGGAAUCAAGACCGGGCCGCUGCUGCUGUCACAUCUGAACCUUCAACUUUGCGCACGUACGCAGGGGAGUUGGUUCAUUGUGUGAACAGCAACUACGAGAAGGUGUUUGGCAGGAAACUUAUUCCAGGGUUUUCACCACCUGCAAAAUACACAGGUAGUGUCAAAAGUGCCUGUGUGCAUUGUUUUUAUUUGAGUUUGGGAUGGUUCUGUUAUUCAAAAUUUCCCAAUUUAAUAUUUGUCAGGAGAACUCAUUGGGGUGCAGUACUUGCUGAGGCAGAAUAAUGAACCUCUACAAGACAUGCACCCCAAUUCUGAGGAGACAUCCCAGUUGAUGGAGGACUUAGAUGUUGAGGAGCCAAAAGAUCCAGAUGAGGGAUUUGAGGAUUUUUUGGGAAGUGAAGCAACAAUUGUGGAUCUGAUGGUUUCUAAUCCCAUCAAAGAAAUCUACCCUCCUCCAGCUGUUCUUUGUCCUUCAGCAGUGCCUCCUCCACCUUCAGCAGUGCCUCCUCCACCUUCAGCAGUGCUGGGUUUUUGCCUGCUUACGGGUCCUGUAAAAACCCAAACCUUAUCAGAUUAAACUUAAAACCUUCCAUUUCCAUUUAUUAUCCUAGACAUAAUUACCAUAUUUAGGAGGCCGUCUAAUCAUUAGGUUAACAUCUUAGUUAUGCUGCUAUAGGCUGAGGCUGCCGGGGUCCAGAAACAUAAUCACCUGACAGGCCUCUGUCACCCUGCUGGGUCAUGGCUUCCUCUCCUCUCCUCCUCUCCCCUCCUCUCCUCUCCUCUCCUCUCCUCCACACCUAGUAGAUCAGUGAUGUUAUUUCUUGUGUAGUUUUUCUGUGAGCCAGUCUCGGGGGUUCGGCGGGGCCUCCGCCACGGAGGGGAAGACACACCCGACUCAUCGUGUCAGUUGGUGAUGACGCCCCGCUUGGCCGUCACUGGCUGCAGAUGAUCACGUUACAUUGCUUGGCCGAUCAGUGCUGCAGGGAAUCUGGUGCUCAGUAGUCAACGUGUGACUGACGUGGUACUACGUCGUCUGAUUUCGUCCUUAAUAUUUUAAUCCAUACUAACUAUGUAGUGGUCAGACGAAUACGUACAACAUGGAUUCACAUGUAUCACGGAACGUGAUGGGAGUCAGCGUCCCAUCUGCAUGAUUUGCAAUGUUGAGCAACUCUGGUCUCGCACCGGCAAAACUACAGGAGCAUUUCCUGAAGCUGCAGAUGGGGAAUACAAGAACACAACGCCUGCUGAAUUCAAGGUGAAGAGAGCCAGAUUCGAUGAAAAGGCCACUCUGCCUUCUUUUGGAUUUGUACCCACUGACAAACCGAUCCUCACAGCAUCGUACGAAGUUGCUUCCCUGAUCACAAAGCAGGUUAAGCCACACACCACCGGUGAAACACUCAUAAAACCAGCUGUGUUAAAGAUGGCGAAUCCGAUACUCGGAACAGCGGCCGAAGGUAAAUUAUCCCAAAUUCCUCUUUCAAAUGACACCAUCAGCGACAGAAUAGAGGACACGAGUAAAGACAUCUUGGCUCAAUUCAGCCUUCAACUCGAUGAGACCACAGACGUUUCUAAUCUAAGCUAGCUUGCUGUUUUUGUGCGCUAUAUAAAAGACGACAUGACAAAAGAAGAUAUUUUAUUUUAUAAGCCUCUUACAACAACAACUAAGGCAGCCGAUGUGAAGAAGCUUGUGGAUAACUUCUCCAGAGAUGACAAUCUUUUAUGGGAUGUGGUUUCUGCAGUUUGUACGGACGGAGCUCCAGUCAUGCUGGGAAGAGUCUGGUUUUGGUGCGUCAGUGAGGGUCGAUGCACCGCACAUCAUUGUCACGCAUUGUAUUCUGCGCAGGUGUAACAGGGCCUUUGUGUCAUAAUAUGUUAUGGGGCGUUUAAUUACACAAAAUAUGGUCCAUACAGAAUUUCCGGUGUCCUGCAUUUCUUCUUCUGUGGUGUCCCCUAUAAAAGUGAUAGUGAUCCUUCCGCCUCUCCCCUUUUGCAAUAUACUCUUGUGGGAGAGGCGGGUGUCUCAUUUUCCAUCACAUCAAUUCGGAUUAGUUACGUUUGGUUCUCUGUUCAUACAUUUAUGUAUUCUAAUUGAUUGUUUGAUGUGUUUGUUUAUUCAUGUUAUAAAUACAAUGAACAUACCAGCACUUAAAUAUGAAGUUUAAACAGUUUCGACCGUUAGCUUACUUGCCAUGACGAGUUUCGCUAAUGUACGUCUUCCCGCCUUGUGUGUGUCUAGGAACUGAAGCGGGCUGCUAACUGUUUAUUCGUAUUUUUAUUUGUUGCUGUCAGAAUAAAAAGAUAAUCCUGGACACGAGAGUCUCAUUAAAACACAACGCGGAGUUCCACCAGUUACACAGGCAUGCGCUGGCAACAAAAACCUCGCCUCCAAAACUGGCAGAAGUGUUAAAAACUGUAGUGGAAGGUGCGAACUAUGUGUGAAAUAGUGCUGCGAGGCUCCGCAUCUUCAGUGAGCUGUGUAAAGAAACGGGCUGUGAAUCUGAGGUCCUGCUGCACCGUCCUAAUGUUGGGCGGUUGUCCCGGGGACAGGUGCUGCACCCUGUUUUUGCCAUGCGUGUGGAAUUAGCCCUGUUUUUGCAAGAACACCAGCUUUGUCGUGCAGAUUGCUUCAAAGAUUCUGAGUUCAUUCUCAUUUUAGCAAUUUCCACGCACUGAGAUGAGCUUGCAACGUCUCUGGGCGGACACUCCCCUACAGGAGCGUCAUCUCCAGCACGGGUGAGACAGCGUCCACGUUUGCUGUUGGGACAGCAGGUGUCGAUGAUGAAUACCUCGACGGAAUCAUUGAAAUUCAGCAGGUUCAACAGCAACUCUUCAGAACAAGAACGCUCUCAACGUUUUGGUGUCAACAAAGGGAAAAGGAUCCAGUUAUUGCUAAUAAAGCCCUGGAAUCUUUUAUAGCAUUUGUUACAACAUGUCUUUGCGAGCAAUCCUUUUGGAGGAUGCUGGACGUAAAAACGAAGAAAAGACUUUGCUGUGAAAAUGACACGAGAGCGGCGCUUGCCAAGGUGAAGCCACGCGUAUCUGAACUGGUCUCCAAGGCAACAGCAGAAGUCACACUGGUUUGCAGUCGUGCAGAUUGUUGUGAGUUCAAGCACUGUGGGUUUGUUCUUUGAACAAGGUGAAAAUAAACAUUUACAUUAAGAAGGUUUGGUGAAUGUGCAUAUGGAACUGGUGGGGUUCGGUACCUCCAACAAGGUUCAGGACCACUGAUCUACACGUAUCGCCGCCUUCACAGCUGCAUGCUGACCUCCUGACCUCCGACCCCACUGACCCACUCAAUUCUAACUGCAGUUUAUUAUCAUUAAUAUAAUUCAUGUAUUUCCCUGAUCUCUACCUAUUCUCUCCUCUACCUGUCCUCCCCCCUCUCCUCUCCUCUCCUCUCUCUCUAUCCAGCCCCCCCAUCAGCAGGAGGGUCCCCCUACAUGAGCCUGGUCCUGCUCAAGGUUUCUUCCUAUUAAAGGGGAGUUUUUCCCUGCCACUGUUGCUUGUUGGGGGUCAGGCCAUCAGAUUCUGUAAAGCGCCUAGAAACAAUUCUGAUUAUAACAGACGUGAUAUAAAAAAAGAUUGAUUGAUUGAUUUGGGUUUAAACAUGAGCGUGACCUUUAAUAAUGGGGGUGUUGGGUCUUUAUUCAGCUUUUAGCCAAUCAAUAAUGUAUCUCUGGAUGAUGUGUUCACAUUAACUGUUGUGUAAACUCAUAAUUUAAGGGCACAUUUAAAGGGUUUGUUUAAAAGAUGUUAAAUAUAUAAUAUUACUUGACGGGACGGAACACGAGGAGACACCACUGACCCACGUUGACCACAAACCGACCAGACGCUGGUGAUCGGGAGGCGGCGGCUUUUGAAGAGUGGAGAUCGGUGACCAGCUGCAGGUGUGACGGUCACCUGAGAACCCAGGUGGAUCCGCCACGCCCCCUAGUGAGAAAACCAGGAACACAAACAGGCACCAACACACAAUUAUCUCUGUUUGGUCAGAUUUCAAGUUAAUUUAUUUCUGUUAAUUUAAUAUGUAAUAAAUGAGUUUAACUGCUGGCUAAACUGAGUUCCAUCCAGUCUUCCUUUGGGUUUUAUUAGUUUUAUAUCAUUUGAUCAAAGGUGUCGAUGACCCUGUGAUUGUGAGUGUGUGUCCACCAGUUUGUCCUUCAGGACUUCAUGGACUGGUGUGAAGGAUCUUUGUUAGAAAUGUGUCCAAACCCAAAGAAAUGAUCACUAACUUUUAUUCAUUAACCAGACAAAGUGGUUGAAAAUACAAAAUCUUGGUGGAUUUAUUCUGUAAUAAAUCACUUUGAUGUCAACAAGACACCAGCAACACACGAGCUUUUAGAUAUUGAGACGUUUUUUAGUAACAAAUCUUUAUAUGGAUUCUAUUUCUUAAUGCUUUUAUUAUCAUCACUUGAUUAUUGUUAUUUUGUUUUUCAUUUACUGGCUGUAAAAUUGUCCCACUGAAUUAAUAAAAUGACCUUGUGAAUUUGCAACUAUGUAAAAGAAUUCUGCUGGAAAAAAAACUCUUCAAACAGAAAAAUAAACAAGCUGCAGUUUAAAGUUCGUUGGUUCCUAAUUUGGACCUGUGAUCCCUGAAUAAUUAUCAAAGGGAAAAUCUCAGUUCAGAGAGUGAAGACUUAUUUUAAUAAAGUGUGUGUUCACCCAGAACUCUGAAUCCCAGUAAACUCCAGAUGUUUGAGGGAACAUGAAGACCUCCGCUGCAGCUUUCCAACAGUUUUCAGAUUUUCGCCAGACUGAAACUCGGAGGUCAAAAGUUGAAAGAGUCAAAAGUUUUAGGAAAUUGUGUGAGAACGUUGAGUGUAGUGAUCAGACACUAGAGAGAGC